rnacentral:rRNA from 1 species
AGAGUUUGAUCAUGGCUCAGGAUGAACGCUGGCGGCGUGCCUAACACAUGCAAGUCGAGCGAUUCUCUUCGGAGAAGAGCGGCGGACGGGUGAGUAACGCGUGGGUAACCUGCCCUGUACACACGGAUAACAUACCGAAAGGUAUGCUAAUACGAGAUAAUAUACUUUUAUCGCAUGGUAGAAGUAUCAAAGUUUUUGCGGUACAGGAUGGACCCGCGUCUGAUUAGCUAGUUGGUAAGGUAACGGCUUACCAAGGCGACGAUCAGUAGCCGACCUGAGAGGGUGAUCGGCCACAUUGGAACUGAGACACGGUCCAAACUCCUACGGGAGGCAGCAGUGGGGAAUAUUGCACAAUGGGCGAAAGCCUGAUGCAGCAACGCCGCGUGAGCGAUGAAGGCCUUCGGGUCGUAAAGCUCUGUCCUCAAGGAAGAUAAUGACGGUACUUGAGGAGGAAGCCCCGGCUAACUACGUGCCAGCAGCCGCGGUAAUACGUAGGGGGCUAGCGUUAUCCGGAAUUACUGGGCGUAAAGGGUGCGUAGGUGGUUUCUUAAGUCAGAGGUGAAAGGCUACGGCUCAACCGUAGUAAGCCUUUGAAACUGGGAAACUUGAGUGCAGGAGAGGAGAGUGGAAUUCCUAGUGUAGCGGUGAAAUGCGUAGAUAUUAGGAGGAACACCAGUUGCGAAGGCGGCUCUCUGGACUGUAACUGACACUGAGGCACGAAAGCGUGGGGAGCAAACAGGAUUAGAUACCCUGGUAGUCCACGCCGUAAACGAUGAGUACUAGCUGUCGGAGGUUACCCCCUUCGGUGGCGCAGCUAACGCAUUAAGUACUCCGCCUGGGAAGUAC